UACGAAGGGUGCAAACGUUGCUCGGAAUUAUUGGGCGUAAAGCGCACGUAGGCGGCUUUGUAAGUCGGAUGUGAAAUCCCUCGGCUUAACCAAGGAAGUGCAUCCGAAACUACAGAGCUUGAGUACUUAAGAGGAUCGCGGAAUUCCCGGUGUAGAGGUGAAAUUCGUAGAUAUCGGGAGGAACACCAGUGGCGAAGGCGGCGAUCUGGGAAGAUACUGACGCUGAGGUGCGAAAGCCAGGGGAGCAAAGCGGG
rnacentral:rRNA from 1 species